rnacentral:tRNA from 1 species
GCGUUCGUAGUGUAGUGGUCAGCACGCUCGGCGCGUAUUCGAGAGGUCCGUGGUUCGAGUCCCGGAAAGAGCG